rnacentral:lncRNA from 1 species
GCUCUCCUCUCUUGCUAAGCUUUGUUUCCUGGCAGUAAUUAAAACCUUCUGCCACUGCCAUAGCUAUUGCUGCUGCUGGAACCACCAUAGCCACCUUGGUUUCUGGUUGGGCAAAGUAUUGGCCUCUACCACCACAGGGGCCAGAGCUUCUGCCUCCAAAACUUCCUCCUUUCAUAGGUCCAGAAUUUGAAGAUUGAUUGUUGUAACUGCCAAAAUAAUUAUAGCUUCUACCACCUCCAGAGUUGCUUCCAUCAUUACCAAAUCCGUUAUAGCCAUCCCCACUGCCACCAUAUUCACCACCACCUUUACUGCCACCAAAGUCACCUCACCCACUGAAGUUUCCUCCAUGGCCAAAGUUGUCAUUCCCACCAAAACCACCUCCACGACUGCCACUGAAGUUCCCAGAACCACUUCAACCUCUUUGGCUGGAAGAAGCACUAGCCAUCUUUUGUUUAGGUAAAGCUUUCCUUACUUCACAGUUGUGGCCAUUCACAGUACGAUAUUUCUGAAUGGCAAUCUUGUCUACAGAGUCAUGGUCAUCAAAUGUUACAAAGGCAAAGCCUCUCUUUUUGCCACUUCCUUGGUCAGUCAUGAUUUCAAUCACUUCAAUUUUCCCAUACUGUUCAAAAUAAUCUCUUAGAUGCUGUUCUUCAGUGUCUUUUUUUUUUUUCUUCAGUGUCUUCUUUAAUGCCACCGACAAAAAUCUUUUUCACAGUUUCACACCAGGUCUUUGAGAAUCUUCUUUCAAGACAGCCCUCUUUGGUUCUAGAACUCUUCCAUCCACCUUGUGUGGCCUUGCAUUCAUGGCUGCAUCCACCUCUUCCACAGUGGCAUAGGUGACAAACCCAAAGCCUCUGGAGAGCUUGGUGUUUGGAUCUCUCAUUACCACACAGUCCGUAAGUCUUCCCCACUGCUCAAAAUGGCUCCUCAGACUCUCAUCAAUUGUUUCAAAGCUCAAACCUCCGAUUAAAACUUCUGCAGCUGUUCAGGCUCUUUGGGGGACUCUGACUUAGACAUGAUGGCGGUGGGAGGGGAGACUUUCAUGAAGCUUACUCGGUGACGCCCAUGGACAGAAAG